CCCGCAUGUAUCACACAGAUGAACACGCAUCCAGACACUCAGAAACACGAUUUGUCGACACAAUUGUGUAUCUGAGUGUUUCUCUGUGUGAUUCACCGAAAGCAACGAUCGCUAAAC
rnacentral:precursor_RNA from 10 species